CCUACGGGGUGCAGCAGUGGGGAAUAUUGCACAAUGGGCGCAAGCCUGAUGCAGCCAUGCCGCGUGUAUGAAGAAGGCCUUCGGGUUGUAAAGUACUUUCAGCGGGGAGGAAUGUGUUGUAGUUAAUAACCGCAGCAAUUGACGUUACCCGCAGAAGAAGCACCGGCUAACUCCGUGCCAGCAGCCGCGGUAAUACGGAGGGUGCAAGCGUUAAUCGGAAUUACUGGGCGUAAAGCGCACGCAGGCGGUCUGUCAAGUCGGACGUGAAAUCCCCGGGCUCAACCUGGGAACUGCAUUCGAAACCGGCAGGCUUGAGUCUUGUAGAGGGGGGUAGAAUUCCAGGUGUAGCGGUGAAAUGCGUAGAGAUCUGGAGGAAUACCGGUGGCGAAGGCGGCCCCCUGGACAAAGACUGACGCUCAGGUGCGAAAGCGUGGGGAGCAAACAGGAUUAGAUACCCCGGUAGUC
rnacentral:rRNA from 1 species